UUGCUAUGGCAUCGUUCAGGUGCCAACGGGACCCUGGUUCUGCCGGAAAUGUGAAUCUCAGGAGCGAGCAGCCAGGGUGAGGUGUGAGCUGUGCCCACACAAAGACGGGGCAUUGAAGAGGACUGAUAAUGGAGGCUGGGCACACGUGGUGUGUGCCCUCUACAUCCCCGAGGUGCAAUUUGCCAACGUGCUCACCAUGGAGCCCAUCGUGCUGCAGUACGUGCCUCAUGAUCGCUUCAACAAGGUCAGCGGCCCCCCGCCGUGUCCCCUACCAGUUCCCUCCCAUCUAUGGGUUCCUCCAACGCUCUCUUCAUCCGGUGUAAUUUGAUUCUGUCCAACGAGCACUGAAAGGGAACUUGGGAGGUGGGUAGGUACCUACCAGUGAACCACCCUUCUGUUGACAGACACACUCAUGCUCUGGCACUCAGGUGAAAUAGUAGGCUCCCCUGCAGUAGUUCUGCCAGAGGGUAGACCUUCGCAGUUACUUCAUUCAUUCAUUCGCUGGACACAUUUUAUUAAGUGCCUACUAUGUGCCAGACCUGGUGCAAGGUAGCUGGCACACGCUGUUCGGUGCUGAUCAAGACAGGUGUGCUGCCCGCUCAAUGGAACGCAAGUUCUUGCAUGCGAAGACUAUAAAUAUCAGUAAAAAGGCAAAGU
rnacentral:lncRNA from 10 species